UACAGAGGGUGCGAGCGUUAAUCGGAAUUACUGGGCGUAAAGCGUGCGUAGGCGGUUCGUUAAGUCUGCUGUGAAAGCCCCGGGCUCAACCUGGGAAUGGCAGUGGAUACUGGCGAGCUAGAGUGUGAUAGAGGAUGGUGGAAUUCCCGGUGUAGCGGUGAAAUGCGUAGAGAUCGGGAGGAACAUCAGUGGCGAAGGCGGCCAUCUGGAUCAACACUGACGCUGAGGCACGGAAAGCGUGGGGAGCAAACA
rnacentral:rRNA from 1 species